AUUCAAAUAGCUUAUAAAUUAGAGCGUUACACUGAAGAUGUAAAAGAGAUUAUUUUAAUCUUUGAAUA
rnacentral:tRNA from 1 species